CCUACGGGAGGCUGCAGUGGGGAAUAUUGGACAAUGGGGGCAACCCUGAUCCAGCCAUGCCGCGUGUGUGAAGAAGGCCCUCGGGUUGUAAAGCACUUUCAGUGAGGAAGAACGCCUGGUGGUUAAUACCCAUCAGGAAAGACAUCACUCACAGAAGAAGCACCGGCUAACUCCGUGCCAGCAGCCGCGGUAAUACGGAGGGUGCGAGCGUUAAUCGGAAUUACUGGGCGUAAAGCGCGCGUAGGUGGCUUGAUAAGCCGGUUGUGAAAGCCCCGGGCUCAACCUGGGAACGGCAUCCGGAACUGUCAAGCUAGAGUGCAGGAGAGGAAGGUAGAAUUCCCGGUGUAGCGGUGAAAUGCGUAGAGAUCGGGAGGAAUACCAGUGGCGAAGGCGGCCUUCUGGACUGUCACUGACACUGAGGUGCGAAAGCGUGGGUAGCAAACAGGAUUAGAUACCCUAGUAGUC
rnacentral:rRNA from 1 species